UAGUCCACGCCGUAAACGAUGAUUACUCGCUGUAGGCGAUACACAGUCUGUGGCUAAGCGAAAGUUUUAAGUAAUCCACCUGGGGAGUACGAUCGCAAGAUUGAAACUCAAAGGAAUUGACGGGGGCCCGCACAAGCGGAGGAACAUGUGGUUUAAUUCGAUGAUACGCGAGGAACCUUACCUGGGCUCUAAUGCGCGCGCUAUCUGCUGAAAGGCGGAGUUCCUUCGGGACGCAAAGCAAGGUGCUGCAUGGUUGUCGUCAGCUCGUGCCGUGAGGUGUUGGGUUAAGUCCCGCAACGAGCGCAACCCCUAUUUUUAGUUGCCAGCACGUAAUGGUGGGGACUCUAGAAAGACUGCCGGCGCAAGCCGAGAGGAAGGUGGGGAUGACGUCAAAUCAUCAUGGCCUUUAUGCCCAGGGCUACACACGUGCUACAAUGGACAGGACAAAGGGUCGCCAAACCGCGAGGUGGAGCUAAUCCCAGAAACCUGUUCUCAGUUCGGAUUGAAGU
rnacentral:rRNA from 1 species